rnacentral:rRNA from 1 species
UGAGUACGAGCUGCUACGGCAGCGAAGUGGGUGAUGUCAAGCUUCCAAGAAAAGCCCUAUACCCGUUAAGGCAUGACGGCCUGUACCCGAAACCGACACAGGUGGGGUGGUAGAGAAUACCGAGGGGCGCGAGAUAACUCUCUCUAAGGAACUCGGCAAAAUGGCCCCGUAACUUCGGGAGAAGGGGUGCCACCGCAAGGUGGUCGCAGUGAAGAGGCCCAGGCGACUGUUUACCAAAAACACAGGUCUCCGCUAAGUCGCAAGACGAUGUAUGGGGGCUGACGCCUGCCCAGUGCCGGAAGGUUAAGGAAGCUGGUCAGCGCAAGCGAAGCUAGCGACUGAAGCCCCGGUGAACGGCGGCCGUAACUAUAACGGUCCUAAGGUAGCGAAAUUCCUUGUCGGGUAAGUUCCGACCCGCACGAAAGGCGUAACGAUCUGGGCGCUGUCUCGGAGAGAGGCUCGGCGAAAUAGAAUUGUCUGUGAAGAUGCGGACUACGUGCACCCGGACAGAAAGACCCUAUGAAGCUUUACUGUAGCUUGGUAUUGUGCCCGGGCUCUGAAUGCGCAGGAUAGGUGGGAGGCUUUGAUCCAUUGCUUGUGGGUAAUGGUGAGCCACUGGUGAGAUACCACUCUUUCAGAGCUAGGGUUCUAACGGUCACCCGUUAUCCGGGGACCGGACAGUAUCAGGUGGGCAGGUUGACUGGGGCGGUCGCCUCCUAAAAGGUAACGGAGGCGCGCAAAGGUUCCCUCAGGCUGGUUGGAAAUCAGCCGACGAGUGUAAAGGCAGAAGGGAGCUUGACUGUGAGACCUACAAGUCGAACAGGGACGAAAGUCGGCCUUAGUGAUCCGACGGUUCUGAGUGGAAGGGCCGUCGCUCAACGGAUAAAAGUUACUCUAGGAUAACAGGCUGAUCUCCCCCAAGAGUUCACAUCGACGGGGAGGUUUGGCACCUCGAUGUCGGCUCAUCGCAACCUGGGGCUGAAGUCGGUCCCAAGGGUUGGGCUGUUCGCCCAUUAAAGCGGUACGCGAGCUGGGUUCAGAACGUCGUGAGACAGUUCGGUCCAUAUCCGGUGCACGCGCAGGAACAUUGAGAGGAUUUCUCCCUAGUACGAGAGGACCGGGAGGAACGCACCUCUGGUGUACCAGUUAUCGUGCCAACGGUAAACGCUGGGUAGCCAUGUGCGGAGCGGAUAACCGCUGAAAGCAUCUAAGUGGGAAGCCCACCUCAAGAUGAGUGUUCCCAUGGCAUAAGCCAGUAAGGUCACGGGAAGAACACCCGUUGAUAGGCUCUACGUGGAAGCGUGGCAACACGUGAAGCGGAGGAGUACUAAUAGACCGAGGGCUUGACC